GUACACGCUGUGACUAGCAUAUCAAUAAGCGGAGGAAAAGAAACUAACAAGGAUUCCCCUAGUAACGGCGAGUGAAGCGGGAAGAGCUCAAAUUUGAAAUCUUAAAGGGUUUCCCUUUACGAAUUGUAGUUUAAAGAAGUGUUUUCUGUUGAGGUUUUGGUAAAAGUUCUUUGGAAUAGGACAUCAUAGAGGGUGAGAAUCCCGUAUUUGACCUUUACUUUCAACUUUGUGAUACACUUUCAAAGAGUCGGAUUGUUUGGGAAUGCAGUCCAAAAUGGGUGGUAAAUUUCAUCUAAAGCUAAAUAUUGGCGAGAGACCGAUAGCGAACAAGUACCGUGAGGGAAAGAUGAAAAGAACUUUGAAAAGAGAGUUAAACAGUACGUGAAAUUGUCAAAAGGGAAGCGUUUGACACCAGUGUUGUUUUUCUGAAAAUCAAUUAAAGAACUGUUUAUGCUAAGCUGUUUAGACUUUAUCAGCUAAUCUGUUUAGUUUUGAGCUUUUCUUUAAUGCACUUUUCAGUUAACAAGUCAACAUCAAUUUCUUUUGCUGUAAAAAAGCUUGAGGAAGGUGGCUUGAGAUUCGUCUUAAGUGUUUAUAGCCUCUUGCCUAUGCAGUCGGAGAGAUUGAGGUCUGCAGCGUAGAUCCCUUCGGGGCUAAAUGCAUUUGUGCUAAGUUAUAGCAUUUUAUAGACAACUUGUUGACUAUGAUUUGUCUUGUAGCUUACUCGCUUAUGUUAUUUUACCUACGCUUAGGAUGUUGAAGAUGUAGCACAUCA
rnacentral:rRNA from 1 species